rnacentral:lncRNA from 10 species
UAUGACUAAGAACAUAUUAGAUUUCAAUGAAUUUAUAUAACUUUUAAAACACUCAUAUUAAUAACAUACACAUAAACGUAACUGAAAGACGAUCUAGCAUCACUUCUCAUUUGAAAACAUUUCUUAUACAAUUUACUAAAUAAGCCUAAUCAUUUAAUAUCUCUACAAGAUAAGAUAUAUAUAUAUAUUUAGGCUUUCUGGGGCCUAACUGGAAAAUCAAAAGGUGAUUCUAGAUUAAAAAAAUUAAUUUAGAAUUUUGAUCCUGGGGAAGCACAUUAAAGAUAUCAAGAAGUUUGAAAUGCCUGAUCAAAAUAGGUUCACAGGCCACUGUAAAAUAAUAGUCAAAAAUUUAACCAGAGUGCUAGAAGAUUUUGAAAAUAAUACCAAAAGUUACAUGGGUGAAAAAACUCUAAUUCUUUCAAAGCUCAGUUUUCCCAAGUAAUCAAAAACUUAAUAACGACAACACAAUAAAUUAUCUUGAUGAAACAUGAAUUCUUUUUUUUAGGCCAAUUACUAAAAAGGUCAAGAAAAGCUUCUGGUAGUAUGAUUGCUUAUCUUUACAGGAAGCCCAUUUACAUAACCUGGAAGUUGAACCUGAUGAAAAGUGUACUUAAAUUUAAUCAGACACAAGAAGAGUGUAUUCAGUAUCAAUGCACAUCAUAUUAUAGAGUAACAAACAAAACCCAGCAUGUUGAGUAGGCGAUACAUGGCUCUUAAUAAUAGCAUGAGAAGUUUUCUGAUUAUGAGAGGUGAAGCUGGCUGGGCUUCUGGGUCGGGUGGGAGCCGAGGGUCGACAGAGAGGAAAGCCAUUCAGCUCCGGGAUUCCAACAACAAGUUGGUUGACUCUGCAGCCAUGAGCAGAACCCUCAAAGUCAUGUUGCCCAAGUAAGACUCGCCCAUCUAUCUUAUCUAUCCUGACCCUUGCCUCCUGGGUCCUAAUGCCUGUCAGACAAACUUACUCUCACCUCUCUUCUCGGAGGCUAGUCCCACUUCUGAAAACCACUCCCUGUCUCUGGUGCUUUUCUAGUUUCUCCUAUAAGAAUGAUUUCUAGUAUAAACUCCAGGACUCUAUUCCCUUCUUUAGGCACCCGGGCUCACCAAUCAGAAAGACAUAAUUUUUGCCCAAAGCCUCAUGGUGGGGGGUACUAUCUUAUGUAGAAUUUUAGGAUCCCUCCUCAGACUAGCAGGCAUAACAAAAGCUAUUCCUGAAGCUAGAAUAUGAGGAUCCUCAGAAAUUAUAUCCUUCCUAUUCGUAUAAGUGAAGACAAAAGGCAUCACUCUUCCAACCCUGGAAAUCCCUUCCCUCCCUCAGGGUAUGGCCCUCCACUUCAUUUUUGGGGCAUAACAUCUUUAUAGCACAAGGGUAAAGUCCCAAUACUAACAGGAGAAUGCUUAGGACUUUAACAGGUUUUCCAGAAUGCAUCAAUAAGGGCCACUAAAUCCGAUUUUUCUUGGUCCUCUUUGUGGUCUAGGAGGACAGGCAAGGGUGCAGGUUUUUGAGAAUGCAUUGGUAAGGGCGACUAAAUCUGACAUUCCUUGGUCCUCCCUGUGGUCUAGGAGGAAAACUAGUGUUUCUGCUGCUGCAUCAGUGAGCGCAACUCUUCUGAUCAGCAGGGUCUAGGGACUGUUGUGGGUUCUUGGGCAAGAGGUGUUUCUGCUGCUGUGUCGGUGAGCUCAACUAUUCCAAUCAGCAGAGUCCAGGGACCAUUGUGGGUUCUUGGGCAAGAGGUGUUUCUGUUGCUGCGUCGGUUAGCGCAACUAUUCUGAUCAGCAGGGGCAAACCUUCGACCUCACUUGGAGAGAUGUCAUGUUAUUAGAUCAAACCCUGGCCUUUAAUGAAAAGAAUGCGGCUUUAGCUGCAGCCUGAGAGUUUGGAGAUACCUGGUAUCUUAGUCAAGUAAAUGAUAGAAUGACAGCUGAAGAAAGGGAUAAAUUCCCUACUGGUCAGCAAGCCGUCCACAGUAUGGAUCCCCACUGGGACCUCAACUCAGAUCAUGGGGACUGGAGUCACAAACAUCUGUUGACCUGUGUUCUAGAAGGACUAAGGAGAAUUAGGGAAAAGUGCAUGAAUUAUUCAAUAAUGUCUACCAUAACUCAGGGAAAGGAAGAAAAUCCUUCUGCCUUCCUCAAGUGGCUAUGGGAGGCCUUAAGAAAAUAUACUCCUCUGUCACCUGACUCACUAGAGGGUCAAUUGAUCCUAAAAGAUAAGUUUAUUACCCAAUCAGCUGCAGAUAUCAGGAGA